rnacentral:rRNA from 1 species
GAUGAACGCUGGCGGCGUGCCUAAUACAUGCAAGUCGAGCGAACGGACGAGAAGCUUGCUUCUCUGAUGUUAGCGGCGGACGGGUGAGUAACACGUGGAUAACCUACCUAUAAGACUGGGAUAACUUCGGGAAACCGGAGCUAAUACCGGAUGAUAUUUUGAACCGCAUGGUUCAAAAGUGAAAGACGGUCUUGCUGUCACUUAUAGAUGGAUCCGCGCUGCAUUAGCUAGUUGGUAAGGUAACGGCUUACCAAGGCAACGAUGCAUAGCCGACCUGAGAGGGGGGUCGGCCCCCCCGGACCUGAGACACGGUCCAGACUCCUACGGGAGGCAGCGUAGGGAAUCUUCCGCAAUGGGCGAAAGCCUGACGGAGCAACGCCGCGUGAGUGAUGAAGGUCUUCGGAUCGUAAAACUCUGUUAUUAGGGAAGAACAUAUGUGUAAGUAACUGUGCACAUCUUGACGGUACCUAAUCAGAAAGCCACGGCUAACUACGUG